CAGUAAAUGAACCAUAACGCUGCUUUCUCAUUUAUUGAAGAAUCAGAUGUUCCAGAAGAAGGGAGAAGCCUAAAAAAGGAGCUACAUUUCCACUCAUCAUGGAGCACAGGCGUAUCACCUAGAUGGAGUGUGUGGCUCAGAAGAGAUCCUGGAUCCUCUUCAGCCUUGUUUUACCCACUGGGCCAGUAAUGGAUGGAAGACAGGCCUGGCACUGGGGAAGUAGAGGAGUGGCAAGAAGAUGCUAAAGGUGGUGGCAGGCCUGAAUUCCAAACAAGCAUUUUUGAGCAUGGACUGGCUUGUUCCACCUAUCUCCUCUUCUUCCGGAAUUACAGAGAUUCAGAGGGAAGAGGCAAUGCUAGGCGAGCUGAGAUUUUCUCUGAGAAAACACCUUCACAGAGGCAAUAGGACAGAGACGCACCAACCUGGAGUCUAUCAGGAGCUGCUCUGCUUGGUGACCACAGAGAUACCAGAAAUACGAAGAUGCUUGUUAUUCACAGCAGUGCCUCUCAGGAACUGUGGACUACAAUCCACUGUCUAGGGAGCUUCAAAUGUCUGCA
rnacentral:lncRNA from 1 species